CCCUUAGACGUUCUGGGCCGCACGCGCGCUACACUGACGAAGGCAGCGAGCUACUCUUCACCGAAAGGUGUGGGUAAUCUUUUGAAACUUCGUCGUGCUGGGGAUAGAUCCUUGCAAUUUUUGAUCUUAAACGAGGAAUUCCUAGUAAGCGCAAGUCAUCAACUUGCGUUGAUUACGUCCCUGCCCUUUGUACACACCGCCCGUCGCUACUACCGAUUGAAUGGUUUAGUGAGGCCUUCGGAUCCGCGAUUUUAUUGUGGAGAAGUUGGACAAACUCAGUCAUUUAGAGGAAGUAAAAGUCGUAACA
rnacentral:rRNA from 1 species